rfam:Macrostomum lignano uti_cns_0005665, whole genome shotgun sequence.
GGGUUUUUAGCCCAGUGGUUAGAGCAUCCGACCCACAAUUGGAAGGUCGGGGGUUCGAAUCUUCGACCCA